AGUGAACGCUGGCGGUAGGCCUAACACAUGCAAGUCGAACGGCAGCACAGUAAGAGCUUGCUCUUACGGGUGGCGAGUGGCGGACGGGGGAGGAAUAAAUCGGAAUCUACUUUUUCGUGGGGGAUAACGUAGGGAAACUUACGCUAAUACCGCAUACGACCUACGGGUGAAAGCAGGGGAUCUUCGGACCUUGUGCGAUUGAAUGAGCCGAUGUCGGAUUAGCUAGUUGGCGGGGUAAAGGCACACCAAGGCGACGAUCCGUAGCUGGUCUGAGAGGAUGAUCAGCCACACUGGAACUGAGACACGGUAGAGACUCCUACGGGAGGCAGCAGUGGGGAAUAUUGGACAAUGGGCGCAAGCCUGAUACAGCAAUACCGCGUGAGUGAAGAAGGACUUCGGGUUCUAAAGCCCUUUUGUUGGGAAAGAAAAGCAGCACGUUAAUACCCCGCUGUUCUGACGGUACCCAAAGAAUAAGCACCGGCUAACUUCGUG
rnacentral:rRNA from 1 species